ACCUGCAGUAACAGCUGUUCAUCUGUUGGGACCCUUAUCUUAACUCACCACUUUCAGAAGAGCAGACAAACUCAAUUUGGUACUUACGGAGUUUCGCUCUUAUUGCCCAGACUAGAGUGCGAUGGUGCGAUCUCGGCUCACUACAACCUCCGCCUCCCAGGUUCAAGUGAUUCUCCUGCCUCAGCCUCCUGAAUAUCUGGGAUUACAGGUUGAAAGGAUUAUAAAAUGUAAUUAUGUUUAAAAUUCCAUGUGAUCUAAAAUUCCAUCAUUCUAUCAUGAGCCCAGGAGCUCCUGCUACAUAAAACAUAUGCUAAUCAAUAAAUGUGAUACAUCACAUCAACAGAAUAAAAAACAAAAAAAACCAUAUGAUCAUCUCCAUAGAUGCAGAAAAAGCAUUUGAUAAAAUUCAAUAUCCCUUCAUAAUAAAUACUGGCAACAAAUUAGGCAUAGAAGGAACAUAUUUCCACAUAACAAAGGCCAUAUAUGACAAACCCACAGCUAACAUUAUACUGAAUGGGGAGAAGCUGAAUGCCUUUCUUCCAAGAACUGGAACAAAACAAAUAUGCUCUCUUUCACCACUCUUAUUCAACACAGUGCUAGAAGUUCUGUCUAAAGCAAUCAGGCAAGAGAAAGAAAUAAAGGUUUUCCGAAUUAGAAAAGAGGAAGUCUAAUUGCCCCCUCUUUGAAGAUUACAUGAUCUUAUAUCUAGAAAAAUGUAGAGACUCCACCAAAAACUCUCAGAACUGAUCAACACAGUAAAGUUGCAAGAUACAAAAUCAGUCAACAUGCAAAAGUCAGAAGCAUUUCUAUACACCAACAACAUGGUAGCUGAAAAAGAAAUCAAGAAAGCAAUCCCAUUUAUAAUAGCUACAAAAAAAUAAAAUACCUAGGAAUGAAUUUAACCAGGGGAGUGAAAGAUAUCUAAGGAAAACUGCAAAACAUUAUUGAAAGAAAUUGAAGAUGACACAAACAAAUGGAAAAAACAUCCCAUCUGCAAGGAAUGGAAGAAUUAUAUUGUUAAAAUAUCCAUACUACCCAAAGCAAAAUAUAGAUUCAAUGUAACUGCUAUCAAAAUGCCAAUGACAGUCUUCACAGAAAUAGAGAAAACAAUCCUAAAAUUUGUGUGGAACCACAAAAGACCCCAAAUAGCCAAAGCAAUACUGAGCAGACAGAACAAAGUUGGAGGCCCGUCACGCCACCUGACUUCAAAAUAUACUACAAAGCCGUAGGAAGCAAACGUCCUAGUAUUUGUAUAAAAACAGACACACGGACCAGGAGAGAGAAACUAGAAAUAAGUCCACAUUCACAGCCAACCGAUUUUUGACAAAGGCACAAGAACAUACAUUAGGGACAGGACAUGCUGUUCAAUAAAUGGAGCUGGCUCUACUACUAUUUGGAAGGUCAUUGGGCUCUACUUUGUCCUUUGUAUUGAAAACAGUGUGGGAUCAAUGUGUGUGUAUGUGAUUUGGUUGUUGGGUUGGCUUUGCUUUUUCAUUUUUUAUUUUCCUUAUUUUAAAAGUACAUCUUCUCCUCUCACAUUUUACUAAGUUAAUUUCUGCUUUUGAAAAGUUGAGUCUCAAAGCGUAAAAACUAAGCCUUCAUUUCUAAGGUGGAUGUGAAAGUCAUUUAACUUUAUUCAUGCCUUAUCUUACAGCUUUAAUAUCAGAUAGGUUAGGAGAGCCCAGGGGAAGUAAUGGGGGAGGGGAGAAGGAAAUUCUUUCUGAAUGAAUAUAUUUUUUGUUGUUUUGCAUUUUUAAUAUACAAGUUCCUCGAGAGAUCAUGGCCUUUGAAUAUGCAUACAACCUUUAAAUUGUGCCUACUAAUUUAUAGCAGGAUGCUUUGGUGUCUAAAAACUUCUGACUUUCUGGGAUUAUAAUAGUAAUUCCCAGCCAUACUCCAACUUAAUUUUACCAACCAUAAUUGAACACUGUAAAUUACUGAUAUACUAAUGUUUUAUAGCCAAGUUUUAUACCCAAGUUUAUAGACUUGGGUAGUCUAACUGUGACUUUAAUUAUGUUUGCCAGUUAUCUGUUUGAAAUCAAUUUGUAUCUGAACAGCUACUGAAACUGUUAAGUUGUACAGAUAUUAUUCAUGACAGUUUGUACUGUGGAAGGUGCUUAAUAAGAAACAAAAGGUUUGGCCUUUGUCCAAUAAAUCACUAACUAAUGUCAAUAAAUCAAGUACAGUAUGAUGCACUAAAAUAAAAUAAAAUAUGGUGCUGUGAAAACUUGCUAUCCACAUGCAGAAGAAUAAGACUAGAUUCCUAUCUCUCACCAUAUACAAAAAUCAAAUCAAAACAGAAUAAAGACUUAAAUGUAAGACCUGAAACUAUAAAACCACCAGAAGAAAACACAGGGGAAAUGCUUCAGGACAUUGUUUAGGCAAAGAUUUUAUGGCUAAGACCCCAAAAGCACAGGCAACAAAAACAAAGACAAAUGGGACUAUCUUAAACUAAAAAGCUUUAUUUGGUCAGCAAAGGAAACAAUCAACAGAGUGAAGUGACAAUCUGCAGAAUGGGAGAAAAUAUUUCCAAAUUAUUCAUUUGGUAAGGGCCUAAUAUCCACAAAAUACAAGAAAUUCAAACAACAGCAAAAGGAAGGAAGGAAGGAAGGGACGGAGGGCGGGCUUUCCAGCCCCAGACCCCUACCCUACAGCCGCCGAGAUAUUGAUGCCUAAGAAGAACUGGAUUCCCAUUUAUGAACUCCUUUUUAAGGAGAGAGUCAUGGUGGCCAAGAAGGAUGUCCACAUGCCUAAGCACCUGGAGCUGGCAGACAAGAAUGUGCCCAACCAUCAUGUCAUGAAGGCCAUGCAGCCUCUCAAGUCCCGAGGCUAAGUGAAGGUACAGUUUGCCUGGAGACAUCUCUACUGCUACCUUACCAAUGAGGGCAUCCAGUAUCUCCGUGAUUACCUUCAUAUGCCCCAGAGAUUGUGCCUGCCACCCUACGCCGCAGCCAUUCUGAGACUGGCAGGCCUCAGCCUAAAGGUCUGAAGGGUGAGCGACCUGCAAGACUCACAAGAGGGGAAGCCGACAGAGAUACCUACAGGCAGAUUGCUGUGCCCCCUGAUGCCGACAGGAAGGCUGAGGCUGAGGCUGGGGCUGGGUCAGAGACGGAAUUCCAGUUUAGAGGCAGAUUUGGUUGUGGAGGUGGUCAGCCACCUCAGUAAAGUUGGAGAGGAUUAUUUUGCAUUAAAUAAACUUACAGCCAAAAAAAAUUAAAAAAAAAAAUCUCAUUAAAAACUCGGCACAGGAUAUGAAUAGAAAUUUCCCAAAAGAAGACAUACAAAUGACCAACAGGUAUAUCAAAAAAUGUUCAACAUCACUAGCCAUCAAGGAAAUGCAAAUCAAAACUACAAUGAGAUAUCACCUUACUCCAGUUAAAAUGACUACUAUCAAAAAAAAAAACCAUAACAAAUGCUGGCGAAGUUGUGUAGAAAAUGGAACUCUUAUACAUUGUUGAUGGGAAUGUAAAUUAGUAUAGCUAUUAUGGAAAACAAUAGCACUAGUCACAAUAGCCAACAUAUGGAAUCAAUCUAAGUCCAUCAAUGGAUAAAUGAAUAAAGAAAAUGUGGUGUGGCCAUAUUAAUGCAUAAAAACAUACAGUUAGAUAGAAGGAAUAAGUUUGGUGUUCAAUACUAUAGCAGGGUAACUAUAGUUAACAUAUUGUAUAUUUCAAAAUAGCUGGAAGAAAAGAUUUGAAAUGUUACCAAGCGCAAAGAAAUGGUAAAUGUUUGAGAUGAUGGGUAUGUUAAACACUCUGAUUUGAUCAUUACACAUGUAUACAUGUAUCAAAAUAUCCCAUGCACCCCAUAAAUACAUACAAUUAUUAUGUAUCAACUUAAGAAUUUUUUAAAAAGUAAAUAGGAGAGGUUAUUCUUUAUGAGAGGGACAAUGGGAAGCGGAGAGGAAGGGAUACUAAUUUUCUUUUCUGUCAGCAUUUGUUUGAAUUUUUAAUCAUAUGUAUGUUACAUGAUUUUUGUCAUCAGGACUUAUCUGCUGAAGAGGCACAAUUUAUUUUCUUUGUGUCACUAAUUAAACUAGCUAUUAAUUAUUUUUUAAAGAAAUGGAUAAAGAUGUCAAAUCAACAGCUUCAGCUUUUAUCUUUAAAAGCUAGGGGGGAAAGAACAAACUAAACCCAAAUUAAACAGAAGAAAGAAAUCAAUGAAAAGAUUAAUAAAACCAACAAACCUCUAGCCUGAUUAAUCUGUGGAGAAAGAGGAACAAUACAAAUUAUCAAUAUCAGAAAAAGUUAUUCAGAUUAUCUAUUUCUUUUUUUUUUUUUUUUUUUUUUUUUUGAGACAGAGUCCCACUUUGUCACUCAGGCUGGAAUGCAGUGGUACAAUCUUGGCUCAUUGCAACCUCCACCCCCCAGGUCCAAGCGAUUCUCCUGCCUCAGCCUCCCGAGUAGCUGGGACUACAGACGCCAGCCACUGUGCCUGGCUAAUUUUUAUAUUUUUAGUAGAGACAGGGUUUCACCAUCUUGGCCAGGCUGGUCUUGAACUCCUGACCUUGUGAUCCACCCGCCUCGGCCUCCCAAAGUGUUGUGAUUACAGGCGUGAGCCACCGCGCCUGGCCAUCUGUUUCUUUUUGAGUGAACUUUGGUAGUCUGUGUUUUUCAAGGUGUUUAUUCAUUUAAUCAGAGCUGUUGAAUAACUCUAUAUCUGCUAAAGAAAAGUGCAUUUGUAGUUAAAAGCCUGCCUAAAAAUGUCCCAAGACUGCAUCUAAAUGUUAAAACCAAAUAUACAUCCAAAACUGAAAAUGAAAAGUAGUCUGAGAAAUGUACUUUUACCUUUCCAGUUUCAGCAAACCAAUUCAUAGCAUCCACGACCCUGCAUUUUAGAUGAAGCAUUUCUUCACCUAGAUUCCAAUAAUUUGGAAAAGAAAAGAGAAAAUGGUAUCUCUACAAAAUAAACUAUUUUUCCUCCAUUUUGAAAAGCCCUUGAAUGACCUGCAAUUCAUUAAUAGAUUUUGGAGCAAGAGAGCCAGCACACUGAUCAGGGGAGCUAACAAAGAAUUAAUAGAUUCCAGGAGGGUGAGGAGUAGAGCCCAAAAAAUGGUCUCCAGGGAGUUAGAUACCAGAAGUCAGGAAGAUGUGCUGUGGUAGCACAAAGCCAUGCGUUAAGAUUUUACUUAUCGGCCAGGCACAGCGACUCACGCCUGUAAUCUCAGCACUUUGGGAGGCCAAGGUGGGCAGAUCACCUGAGGUCAGGAGUUCAAGACCAGCCUGGUCAACAUAGCCAAACCCCAUCUUUAUGAAAAAAAAUACAAAAAUUAGCCAGGCGUGGUGGCGGGCGCCUGUAAUCCCAGCUACUUGGGGGGCUGAGACAGGAGAAUCGCUUGAACCUUGAACCUAGGAGACAGAAGUUGCAGUGAGCCGAGACUGCACCACUGUACUCCAGCCUGGAGGACAGAGUGAGACUCUGUCUCCAAAGGAAAAAAAUAUAUAUUUUACCUAUUCUUUUGAGGUGAUAACUAUCGGGGGACCUGCCCCAAUAAUCACGUAGGUUCAUUUCUAUUUUCCUAAGCGUCGGCUGGCUUGAGAAAUAAAGGGACAGAGUACAAAAGAGAGAAAUUUUAAAGCUGGGCAUCCGGGGGAGACAUCACACGUUGGUAGGAUCCGUGAUGCCCCACAAGCCACAAAAACCAGCAAGUUUUUAUCAGGGAGUUUCAAAAGGGGAGGGAGUAUACGAAUAGGUGUGGGUGACAGACAUCAAGUACUUAACAGGGUAAUAGAAUAUCACAAGGCAAGUGGAGGCAGGGCGAGAUCACAGGACCACAGGAUGGAGGCAAAAUUAAAAUUGCUAAUGAAGUUUCAGGCACCAUUGUCAUUGAUAACAUCUUAUCAGGAGACAGCGUUUUGAGAUCAACCGGUCUGACCAAAAUUUAUUAGGCGGGAAUUUCCUCUUCCUAAUAAGCCUGGGAGUGCUGUGGGAGACUGGAGUUUAUUUCACCUCUGCAAUCUCGACCAAAAGAGACAGAUACGCCCCGGGGGGGCCAGUUCAGAGACCUACCCCUAGGUGCGCAUUCUCUUUCUCAGGGACGUUCCAUGCUGAGAAAAAGAAUUCAGCGAUAUUUCUCCCAUUUGCUUUUGAAAGAAGAGAAAUAUGGCUCUGUUCUGCCCGGCUCACCGGCAGUCAGAGUUUAAGGUUAUCUCUCUUAUUCUCUGAACAAUUGCUGUUAUCCUAUUCUUUUUUCAGGGUGCCCACAUUUCAUAUUGCUCAAACACACAUGCUGUACAAUUUGUGUAGUUAACGCAAUUAUUACAGGGUCCUGAGACGAUAUACAUCCUUCUCGGCUGACAGGAUUAAGAGAUUAAAGCAAAGACAGGCAUAGGAAAUCACAAGGAUAUUGAUUGGGGAAGUGAUAAGUGUCCAUGAAAUCUUUACAAUUUAUGUUUAGAGAUUGCAGUAAAGACAGGCAUAAGAAAUUACAAAAGUAUUAAUUUGGGGAACUAAUAAAUGUCCAUAAAAUCUUCACAAUCCACAUUCUUCUGUCAUGGCUUCAGCCGGUCCCUCCGUUUGGGGUCCCUGACUUCCCGCAACAGAUAACCAAGAGUAAAAAUUUUGUAAAAUUUUAGGAAAGUAAACGGAGGUAUUAUCAGAGUCAUAUGGUAUCUAUUGUCUUAAUGUUUUAUCAUACUUUCAUAUUAAUUUAAAUUAUGGUAUCAUAUUUCAUCAUGCUAAGAUGUAACCAAUUGUAAUUAUGCAAAUAUUUUAUGUACCACUAAGAAAAGAAAAAAACUGUCAAAUAAACCAACACAAUAUUUUUAUCUCUUUGUGUUUUAACUUUUCAAGUGGUCUUUUGAACUUUUUUAGACAAGCAUAUUAAUUAUAUAUAAUUUUUGUGAAUAAACAAAAGAAAAUGUAAGAGAAAUAAAUUGGUUUACAGAUUCUCAAAACUUAGUAAAGUUGUUCUAGUUCUUUCAAGUCAAAGUUAAUAUAUCUAACUCAUUUCUUUCAAUGAUUGCCCCUUGUUCCAUGGUUUGCCUGUGACAGAAACUGCAAGUUGCCUCAUCAAAUUCAUUAGCAACAAAACCUGAUUUUUAGUUAGGCGUAUUCUCACUAGAUUAAAUACUAGAUAUCCCAGCCUCACUGGCAUGUAGAUGUGGUCGCAUGAAUGCUUCUUAUCAAGACAGUAGAAGAAGGCUUGUGUUCAUGUAUCCUACUUCUGUUAAUUCACUUUAAAAGUGGGGAUAAAGGCGGUGUCCUUUUUUCUUCCUCCAUCCUGCUACCCAGAAAACUCUUGUGAUGGAUCACACUUUAGCAUUUAACAUGGGGCAUAACAACGAGUAACAGAGCAAUGAGCUCGACAAAGCCGGGUCCCUAUUAACCUCAGGAAGCUAGCCUUUGAGUGCUUAUGUCUGGACUUCUAUUCUGUAGGAUAAUAGAAGUCUCGUUUAAGACUUUUACUUGUUUAAGUCUCUUUUUUGGGGGGCUGUUUUUGCUUUAAGCAACUGCACCUAUUCCUAAUUAAUGUCUAUUUUCAGUUUUUGGCCACUACAAAAUAUACACAUAUAUACAUAAAGGGCUGCAACUAUCAUCUUGUACAUAUAUCCUCAAACACUGGUGCUUUCAUUUUAAUAAAAUAUGUUCCCAAAAGUAGAAUUUUUGAGUUCAAGGGCCCAUUAAUUUUUCAUGUAAAGAGAUUUUUGCCAAAAAGCUUUCAAAAAGCUGUUAAAAAAAUAAUAUAUUAUCCUCCUUCAUUGUUAUCAAUUUGAUAAGUUAGAAUGGAUAUCUCAUGAUUCUUCUGUGACUACUAAUGAGAAUAGUUAUCUUUGUUAUGUUGGCAAUGUUAAAUUUUUCUUCAUGAGUUAUCUUUUCAUAGUCUUUG
rnacentral:lncRNA from 1 species